rnacentral:rRNA from 1 species
UACGUAGGGUGCAGGCGUUAAUCGGAAUUACUGGGCGUAAAGCGCGCGCAGGCGGUUUCCUAAGUCAGAUGUGAAAGCCCCGGGCUUAACCUGGGAAUGGCCGUUGAAACUGGCGAACUUGAGUGUGGCAGAGGGGGGUGGAAUUCCGCGUGUAGCAGUGAAAUGCGUAGAGAUGCGGAGGAACACCGAUGGCGAAGGCAGCCCCCUGGGCUAACACUGACGCUCAGGCACGAAAGCGUGGGGAGCAAACAGG